AAUAUUGGACAAUGGGCGAAAGCCUGAUCCAGCCAUGCCGCGUGUGUGAAGAAGGUCUUCGUAUUGUAAAGCACUUUAAGUUGGGAGGAAGGGCAGUAAGUUAAUACCUUGCUGUUUUGACGUUACCGACAGAAUAAGCACCGGCUCACUUCGUGCCAGCCGCCGCGUUAACACGAAGGGUGCAAGCGUUAAGCGGAGUUACUGGGCGUAACGCGCGCGUAGGUGGUUCGUUAAGUUGGAAGUGAAAGCCCCGGGCUUAACCUGGGAAUUGCUUUCAAAACUGACGAGCUAGAGUACGGUAGAGGGUAGUGGAAUUUCCUGUGUAGCGGUGAAAUGCGUAGAUAUAGGAAGGAACACCAGUGGCGAAGGCGACUACCUGGACUGAUACUGACACUGAGGUGCGAAAGCGUGGGGAGCAAACAGG
rnacentral:rRNA from 1 species